CGCAAUGGGCGAAAGCUGACGGAGCGACGCUGCGUGAAGGAUGACGGCCUGCGGGUUGUAAACUUCUUUUCUCGAAGAAGAAUAAAUGACGGUAUUCGAGGAAUAAGCAUCGGCUAACUCUGUGCCAGCAGCCGCGGUAAGACAGAGGAUGCAAGUGUUAUUCGGAUUGAUUGGGCGUAAAGCGUCUGUAGGCGGUUUGGAAAGUCUUUUGUGAAAUUCUUCAGCUCAACUGGGGGUCCGCAAAAGAAACUUCUAGGCUUGAGGGAAGUAGAGGUACAGGGAAUUUCCGGUGGAGCGGUGAAAUGCGUAGAUAUCGGAAGGAACACCAAUAUGGCGAAGGCACUGUACUGGGCUUUACCUGACGCUAAGAGACGAAAGCUAAAGGAGUGAUUAGGAUUAGAUACCCUAGUAAUUUUAGCCGUAAACGAUGGAAACUCACUGCCGAGCCGGUAUUCGGAGCGGUGGUCAAGCUAACGCGUGAAGUUUCCCGCCUGGGGACUACGCAUGCAAAUGUGAAACUCAAAGGAAUUGACGGGGACCGCACAAGCGGUGGAGUAUGUGGUUUAAUUCGAUGCAACGCGAAAAACCUUACCAAGGUUUGAAAUCAUUUCAAAACUCUUUGAAAGAAGAGCCUCUUCGGGAUGGAAUGACAGGUGGUGCAUGGCUGUCGUCAGCUCGUGUUGUGAAAUGUCAAGUUAAGUCUUGUAACGAGCGCAACCCAUGUCUUUUGUUGCUGUUUACAGUGCUUAAAAGAGACUGCGCUCUACAGCGGAGGAAGGUGUGGAUGAUGUCAAGUCA
rnacentral:rRNA from 1 species